rnacentral:rRNA from 2 species
ACGGGAGGCAGCAGUGGGGAAUAUUGCACAAUGGGGGGAACCCUGAUGCAGCAACGCCGCGUGAAGGAAGACGGUUUUCGGAUUGUAAACUUCUAUCAAUAGGGACGAAGAAAGUGACGGUACCUAAAUAAGAAGCCCCGGCUAACUACGUGCCAGCAGCCGCGGUAAUACGUAGGGGGCAAGCGUUAUCCGGAAUUACUGGGUGUAAAGGGUGAGUAGGCGGCACGGCAAGUAAGAUGUGAAAGCCCACGGCUUAACUGUGGGAUUGCAUUUUAAACUGUUGAGCUAGAGUACAGGAGAGGAAAGCGGAAUUCCUAGUGUAGCGGUGAAAUGCGUAGAUAUUAGGAAGAACACCAGUGGCGAAGGCGGCUUUCUGGACUGGAAACUGACGCUGAGGCACGAAAGCGUGGGGAGCGAACAGGAUUAGAUACCCUGGUA